UACGGGGGGAGCAAGCGUUGUUCGGAUUUACUGGGCGUAAAGGGCGCGUAGGCGGUCAGCACAAGUCAGUUGUGAAAUCUCCGGGCUUAACUCGGAAAGGUCAACUGAUACUGUGCGACUAGAGUGCGGAAGGGGCAACUGGAAUUCUCGGUGUAGCGGUGAAAUGCGUAGAUAUCGAGAGGAACACCUGCGGCGAAGGCGGCCUGCUGGGCAGUAUAGCUGACACUGAGGCGCGACAGCGUGGGGAGCGAACAGG
rnacentral:rRNA from 1 species